GAUGAACGCUAGCUACAGGCUUAACACAUGCAAGUCGAGGGGAAACGAUAUUGGAAGCUUGCUUCUGAUAGGCGUCGACCGGCGCACGGGUGAGUAACGCGUAUCCAACCUGCCCAUCACUUGGGGAUAACCUUGUGAAAGUAAGACUAAUACCCAAUGACGUCUCUAGAAGACAUCUGAAAGAGAUUAAAGAUUUAUCGGUGAUGGAUGGGGAUGCGUCUGAUUAGCUUGUUGGCGGGGUAACGGCCCACCAAGGCGACGAUCAGUAGGGGUUCUGAGAGGAAGGUCCCCCCACAUUGGGAACUGAGACACGGGUCCAAACUCCUACGGGAGGCAGCAGUGAGGAAUAUUGGUCAAUGGACGAGAGUCUGAACCAGCCAAGUAGCGUGCAGGAAGAAGGCUUUCGGGUGUAAACUGCUUUUGUCAGGGACAAAGGCCGUGUUAAUACCAUGGUCUGCUGACGGUACCUGAA
rnacentral:rRNA from 1 species